rnacentral:rRNA from 1 species
UACAGAGGUCUCAAGCGUUGUUCGGAUUCAUUGGGCGUAAAGGGUGCGUAGGUGGCGCUGUAAGUCAGGUGUGAAGUUUCGGAGCUCAACUCCGAAACUGCAUUUGAUACUGCGGUGCUUGAGGACUGGAGAGGAGACUGGAAUUCACGGUGUAGCAGUGAAAUGCGUAGAUAUCGUGAGGAAGACCAGUGGCGAAGGCGGGUCUCUGGACAGUUCCUGACACUGAGGCACGAAGGCCAGGGGAGCAAACGGG